GAGGAAAGAGGGAGGCGUGCUUAACACAUGCAAGUCGAACGAAGAGCGACGGAAGCUUGCUUCUAUCAAUCUUAGUGGCGAACGGGUGAGUAACGCGUAAUCAACCUGCCCUUCAGAGGGGGACAACAGUUGGAAACGACUGCUAAUACCGCAUACGAUCUAACCUCGGCAUCGAGGAUAGAUGAAAGGUGGCCUCUACAUGUAAGCUAUCACUGAAGGAGGGGAUUGCGUCUGAUUAGCUAGUUGGAGGGGUAACGGCCCACCAAGGCGAUGAUCAGUAGCCGGUCUGAGAGGAUGAACGGCCACAUUGGGACUGAGACACGGCCCAGACUCCUACGGGAGGCAGCAGUGGGGAAUCUUCCGCAAUAGACGAAAGUCUGACGGAGCAACGCCGCGUGAGUGAUGACGGCCUUCGGGUUGUAAAGCUCUGUUAAUCGGGACGAAAGGCCUUCUUGCGAAUAGUGAGAAGGAUUGACGGUACCGGAAUAGAAAGCCACGGCUAACUACGUG
rnacentral:rRNA from 1 species